UGACCGUCACUUGUACUGCGGUCUGACCGCCACUUGCGCAGAGAUGUCAGGUUGGUAGUAACGGCUAGAUUUAGUGAAGUUGGGUAUAAAUAUGGGGUUGGCUGGCUCAUUGAUGGCACCUCUUGAAUCUAGCACAUAAAUACAACACUUUGAGCUCUAGCCCUCCACUCUCCCUCUCCAUUAGUUUGUGAUUGCAUCUUUGAGAGGUUGAGAGUAACUAGUGCAUUAUUUUCAAAGGUUUGAGCAAUUUGGCACUUGUGAUCCUUUAAGCAAGCAUCGUCAACUUAUUACUCUUGGAGGUUGCCGCCUCCUAGACGGCUUGGAGGUUGUGGCACCAACGAGCCCUUCAAGGAAGAUUGCAAAGGAGCCAUGGUGGUGAUUGCGAGAGGUUUGAGCACGACUUGCCGGAGUGGUAAAGUGCUUCACUAGUGAGAUCAAGGUUGUGGGCAGUUCUUGUUCAUUGUCGGCUUAAGGUCAAGUUCCUCGAAUGAGCCCUUUCUCGUGUGAGAAUUGAAUACUUGAUAGAGAAGCGGUUUGAAGCUUGAACUCACCUUAACGUGGAUUAGGUGUGAUCGGAAAAUCACCGAGACCACGGGGAAAAAUCUCUUGUGUCAUUUUUGAGCAAUUUACCUUAUCAUUUACUUUCAUGCAAUUUACUUCAAGUAAUUUAUCUUCCUAGAUUAUAAAUUGUUGUAUGUCACCGUAGGUUUGCAAACCUCAACUUAGGUCUUAGUUGUUCUUUAUAUUGCUCUAGUGAUCCUUAGUUUAUUUUUGAAAGUUUUCUUGAUCGCUUAGCAAUUAGUUUUAAAACUGCCUAUUCACUCCCCCCCCCCCUCUAGUCGGUAUCCUUGAUCCUACAGACUCGCCAUGCUGUUGCCUAACCUGAUACUAGUUAUCCUCGACCCCUGGUCAGGCAUAGGUUCCCUGACGGUUGACGAUGAACUGGUCGCACAAGUCUGUCUUCCCAGGAAUGAACCGACCUACGGGGGAGAUUCAUAAGCCAGGGCCGGGCUGAACAGAUCAGGGUGUUAGGGAAGUAGUUCACCAUGACCUUCAUGUCACCACCUGCAGCAUGCACCACGGUGGUGUAGAUCUGCAGGUACUCCUCCGAGUUGGUCGAGCCAUCGUACUUCUCGGCCAAGACUGGCCAGAACUUAGAAGAUAUAGUUUGUAGGCCCUUGUUCGUUGGUUUGAAUGGCUAUUUGAUCUUUGGUCGUCAUCAACUAUGUAAGUGUAGAGCUUGGAUAAUAGUGUUUCCAUGUGGCAGAAUUGCAUGAUCCAGGUCUAUCACAAUUGUUCACAUCAAUCAAUUCACUUAUUUCGCAUUCAUCACAGCAACACAUCUGCAAGCUUGGCUGAGGUGCUUAGGUAGGCUUGGGAGAGCAUGAUCAGUAGUAAUGGAGGAAAACAACAUAUAAGUAUAGUAAAUAAAUAAUUAUGGCACCCAUAAAGUGCAAUUUGAUAGUUGACCCGGAGUGCCUUCGGUAAAAUGGGCAUAACUUUUGCAUACGGGCUCUGAUUUUGACGUUUUUUUUCUAUGGACAUCUAUAGAAAAAGUUACAUCUGUUUCCCCCUGACUUUGUCAGGUUUGGAGAAUUUUUUGAGGCCAAAAACCUCUUGGAAGAUUGAGUUCUCACCCCCGGAAGUUUCUGCACAGUUUUUGGAACACGUGCAUGUGUCCGUAGCCGCCACCCCUUACAUCAAACUUGAACAAAAUUGUACACUAAUUCCUAUUCUAGUGCUGCUGAGUUGAGAAAAAAUAAGAGGCAAAUAAAAGGAAAAUAAAAAAAUAUUUGUGAACAGCUCAAGGUCAGAAAAAAUGUCGAUUUUUUCUUUUUUUAUUGUGUUUUUGUGUCCACUAUGUUCCGUAAAUGGCAUUAAAAUAUGAAGUGAUGAUACAUGAAACUAUCAGGCGAGACAAGUAAAAUUCAUAUUCAGUAAGGUAAAUCUAACUGGCAUUGUUCAUUAAAUGUGAAGGUAGUCCUACUGUCUGUAAAUGGUCUGCUCAGUAGUCCUGCUAUCUGUAAAUGUGUAGUCACACCAUAAUUUAGGCAUGCUGCGUGUAAGUGUGAGGUUGCAUCGUCCUUUGUCGUCUAUCUCAUGGGUCACAGAUACUGAGAAAAGCGGUGACGUGGAUUCCUCCUCUGUUCUAAAAUGUCCUCUUCUGUGUAAAUGGCCUGCUCAGUAGUCCUGUUGUCUGUAAAUGUGAAGUCACACCAUAAUUUAGGCAUGCUGCAUGUAAGUGUGAGGUCGCAUCAUCCUUGUCAUCUAUCUCAUGGGUCACAUAUACUGAGAAAAGCUGUGACAUGGAGUCCUCCUCUGUUCUAAAAUAUCCUCUUCUGUGUAAAUGUUCUGCGCAAUAGUCAUGCUGUCUGUAAAUGUGAAGUCACACCAUAAUUUAGGCAUGCUGCGUGUAAGUGUGAGAUCGCAUCGUCCUUGUCGUCUAUCUCAUGGGUCACAUAUACUGAGAAAAGCAGUGACGUGGAGUCCUCCUCUGUUCUAAAAUAUCCUCUUAUGUGUAAAUGUUCUGCGUAGUAGUCCUGCUGUCUGUAAAUGUGAAGUCACACCAUAAUUUAGGCUUGCUACGUGUAAGUGUGAGGUCACAUCGUCCUUGUCGUCUAUCUCAUGGGUCACAGAUACUGAGAAAAGCGGUGACAUGGAUUCCUCCUCUGUUGUGAAAUGUCAUCUUCUGUGUAAAUGGUCACACCAUAAUUUAGGCUUGCUGCGUGUAAGUGUGAGGUCGCAUCGUCCUGCUGUGUAUAAAUGGAUCUAGCGACAUCUCAAUAUAGGCAUGAUGAGUGUGCCUGCCUAUUUAUACACUAACUUUCAGGCCAUGCAUAUCCAGCUUGCUACUUGCACUCGAGCACUCACCAACACUAGAAGUAACAUGGACAAGGGAAAAAACAUUCUCGACGAACAAGCCUCACACGCUUUCGAGACUUCACAGGCAGAUGACUCCCUGGCCAAGGAUCCAAUUGUAGUUGACAUCUCACGCAAGAGCAUCCUAAGAUAAAUCGUUAGCAAGAUAGGUGCAACUAUUCGUACCGAAGGGGUAGUAAAGCUAGAUAAGACAAAAAGGGUAGCUUGGCUCACGGUUGAAAUUCCUCCUAAAAAGGGCACCAAUGGCAUCGUGGAAGUUGAGACUUUCCAAGGCAUCCCUUGCAUAAAUAAUUUUGAAGCACAAGAAAAUGUUUGUGAAAUAGCAAUUGGCCAUUUCAUAUCCCAGAUGAAUAUCCAUGUCAAUGAUGUGAAUUAUGCUUCAUUCAUACAAAUGUAUGGUCAGUUGCACUAUUAUAUAAGUUGGUCCCAAAUUCUUCAUAUCAAAUAUGGCAUGAUGCGUAUAGAGAAGGACGGGCUAUUCAAUGCCCACAAGAGACUUUUGAAUCAUCUGAGUUCCAUUUGUGCAAGCUAUGGUGACAUCCUUUCCUUAGUACCCUGUUCUCCAACAACACAUCCAGCAAGCAUAUAUGUUGAACUAGUCAUGUACACUGGAGCAAAGCCACCAGAGACACGACAUGAAUAGCUUGCUCAAGAAUUAUUCAACAUCAUGCAGGAGAACACCCCUAAUGGAAAUCUAAUUAGUGAUUGAAUGGUAUGCAUAGUUGCUAUAUUCCAUUCAAUUGAAUACCAUUCGUUAUUUACUUUUUAAUGCAAUGCUUCAAUUAAAUAUAUUGCAGGAAUCCAAUCACUCAAGGCAACUUGUGUUAGAACAUAUGGGGGAAGUGCCUCUGAGGCCUUGUAGUAUUCUAAUAAUCUCCUCCCCCAUAUACUACUACCAGCUACCACAUAUCAUGUACUAUUAUUGAAGCUACCAACUACUGUAUUGUAAUGUAGUAUUUAGUAAUGUAGUAUUUAGUAAUGUCGAAUAUGUAUACCUUUCAACCAGCAAGUUUGUAUAAUUAUCUCCCUAUGUACUUUGGAUGUGUGUAA